rnacentral:lncRNA from 1 species
AUCAAUAUAGCCACCUCUACUUUCAAAGCAUAUUAUAUGUAUGUAUACACACAUAUAUACAUAUGUAUAUAUAAUGUUUACAUAAGAAGCAAAUUUUGCAAAUGUUAAAAAUUAUUACAUCUAUGUAAGAUCAUUUCUUGAGGAAAUGAGUUGAUCAGAUUUUGUUGCUGUCAUGGCUAUGGGGCAAGCCCUGUAGCUCGUAUUUUCUGUUAGUCAGUGGGCUCAGAAAGCUGAUACAUGUUCUGCUAGUCUGCUAGAAACUGAUACAGUGCUGCUAUGUAACUCCUUGGCUGCCUGCCACUAUUGUCUGUAAAAUAUAUAUAGGAAACUGAGGGCAGAGAUGGGUGAGGACCUCUUUGCUGUAGCUUGUCAGCUGCCAGAAGCUAGCAGAUUUGUUUCCUGUGUACUUUCACUUGCCACUGUGGGGAUACAGAGAUCUCUUGAAAUUUGUCUUUUUCUUGUCGUGUUUGACUGAUAGGUGGAACCAACUUUGUGAAAGCUGUUCAGGUAAGCGGGCAUAAAACUAGGAACAGGGAAGUGCCGUGACAAGAUUUACAUCAGAAUUGAUGGGGCACACUGACAAGAAUACUUUAGAAGCAGUCAUUUGUGUCUGAGGGUGGUGAAAAAUGAUGAGACUGGAACAAUUCAGUAAUCAAAAUGCUGAUUUUUCAUGACUGGACAUACUAAAACAGAGUAGUGAUGACUCUCAUCUUAGUUUCUCUUUUAUACAGAUCUAAAAGUAAGUUGCUUCAUUUGGAUACAAAUGUCUAUCUCAAUCAAGGAUAGAAAGGGGUGCAAUAUUUGAAUAUCAACUCAGGCACAAUGGCAUUCCUGAUUUAAAAUUGGAAUGCAAUUUAACAAAAGAAAGUAAAAUUUAAUAACAUGUAUUUCUUGAUAUUGAGUUUCAAAUUUUCGUUAUUCAGAUUCACCUAAAGUUCCAUUUUUAUCUUAGAGUAUUUUAUGAUAUGAAAUUCAGAUAUUUUCUUUCAUUAGCGCACCUUUCAGUUACUAUGCUCAGAGAUCUAUCAUCUACUGUU